rnacentral:rRNA from 1 species
AGACGGACCGUACGAACGUUAUUCGGAAUCACUGGGCUUAAAGGGUGCGUAGGCGGCGCUGAAAGUUGGGUGUGAAAUCCCUCGGCUUAACCGAGGAACUGCGCCCAAAACUACAGUGCUUGAGGGAGAUAGAGGUGAGCGGAACUUAGGGUGGAGCGGUGAAAUGCGUUGAUAUCCUAAGGAACGCCAGGGGCGAAAGCGGCUCACUGGGUCUCUUCUGACGCUGAGGCACGAAAGCUAGGGUAGCGAACGG